GAUAAACGCUGGCGGCGCACAUAAGACAUGCAAGUCGAACGGACUUAACCAUUAGUUUACUAUUGGAGCGGUUAGUGGCGGACUGGUGAGUAACACGUAAGCAACCUGCCUAUCAGAGGGGAACAACAGUUAGAAAUGACUGCUAAUACCGCAUAAGCCCACAGGUCGGCAUCGACCAGAGGGAAAAGGAGCAAUCCGCUUUGAGAUGGCCUCGCGUCCGAUUAGCUAGUUGGUGGGGUAACGGCCCACCAAGGCGACGAUCGGUAGCCGGACUGAGAGGUUGAACGGCCACAUUGGGACUGAGACACGGCCCAG
rnacentral:rRNA from 1 species